rnacentral:tmRNA from 1 species
GGGGUAGACAGGUUUCGCUUCGAUAUGCGUUUGAGCUUAAAAGGCCUACAAUGAAUGAGCGAGUAUAUUGAAUGACGAGGGUUCAAUUCCCUCCUACUCCACUU